GCCAGUCCAAAUGCUCCCUCUGUGGGCAGAUGUCAGCUGAGUACAGCCCAGUUCUGCUUUCCACUGUGAUGGGGCAGCACUGAGUUCAGUGCAAAACCUCAUAAUCACCACACUCUCCCUCUUCAAAGCACACAGAUUCUCCACACCAUGCAGCCACUUCUGAGGAAUGGGGAACAGGUGGCAUCAGCACUUCAAGACUGUCUUUCUUGCUCUCUUCAAUAAUUCUUUCACUGAUAGAAGUUAAAACCAGGAGAUAAUACGUGAAACACAUAAUGGAAUGUCAAAACAAAUUAAUUUCCUGGUCCGGCUUGUAAAUACAGUACUUUGUGUAAGCAACAGCAAAAAACCAUGAAAAGUGAGAUCUUCGUGAUACUAAUUUCACUCACCCAUUCAACAGGUUGUUUUGUUUUUUUAGAAGAAGAUGGGGAUUUUCUGUUCAGCUCAAGCCCUCCAACCACGAGGCUGAAAGUGAGUACCUAUCUGCAGCCUGGAACUUGGGUAUUAGCAGCCAUGGUUCUGCACAGAGCCGUUCUCACCUCCUUGAACCAUGAGUCCUGCAGAGUGUCCUGAGAGGGGCUGGAUGUGUAAUUUCACCCUUCCCAGGUAAGUCACUCCAAGUACAUAGGCAGUCUUCCUUCCCUGUAGCCACACUUGAUGUCAGUCUGGUGUUUUUGGGGGGCCUUUCCCACUGCCCUCACUGCAGGCCAUUCUUGGAUCCAUCUCAGCCCAAUUCUGGAAGAGCAGUGCAAGAAAACAUUCUGGUGUCUUGUGAAACUUGUUCAGCUGGGAACUUGGCUACAAGGGUUGCUAUGGUAACCUAAGCAGCUGCACUUGGGGGAACUGUGCUUCCUGUUGGAGUGUGGGAUGUGUUUGUGUUUGCACAUGAACGUGUGUAGCACAGAGGAAAGGAAUGACAUCACUACCAAGAAGGGGCUAGUCAAUCCAUGUAAGGCCCUGGGAUUAUCCCAUAAGCCAUUUCCCUCAAGUCCACUCAAGUGUUCCCCCAGAGUCAAUUGCAAUUGUAAUUUCAUGACAGCAUGAAGCCAAUCCUUUUCAAAUUGUCUGCAUUAGCUCUAUGCUUGUGGAAAUCUUCUCCUCAAUGUGUGGUUCCUCCAAGUUUUAUCGGGAUAUAGUUGCCUCAUAAUCUUUCAGUCCAAUAAACCUGCAGGUAUCCACAGAUGGAUGAAUAGCAUGUGUAUUCUGCCUGUAAAUGUUGUUAAUGGCAGGUGACAGGGAUGCUGUGACUGCUUAUAAUAAUCGCGUUCAUCUUUGAAUGUUAAUUCACUUGAUCUUUUUGAAAUUAUAUCUAGAAUUUCUACAAAGCGUAUCAUCAAACAUGAUUUACAGAUUUUGGAUCUCAUGCAAUGUACUCAGGGUUUGUAAGAAGUUCGUCAUUCUCAGUGCUUCUUUGUAUAAUUAAAGAGCAAUGAGUAGUAUUACUUAAUAAAAUUUUAAACUCCCAAAUGUAAAAAGUCUGAAUCAUAUGCAACUGAAAAAAAAUGUGGAAGAAAUGUUACAUAUUAGAGAUGUUUAAAAUUAGAGACAAAGUGAAACCCUACACAGAUCCCUCUUCUCUCGGGUAUUAAUAAUAACAAUAAAU
rnacentral:lncRNA from 10 species